GACGAACGCUGGCGGCGUGCUUAACACAUGCAAGUCGAGCGGUAAGGCCUUUCGGGGUACACGAGCGGCGAACGGGUGAGUAACACGUGGGUGACCUGCCCUCCACUUCGGGAUAAGCCUGGGAAACCGGGUCUAAUACCGGAUAGGACCAUAUGAUGCAUGUCGUGUGGUGGAAAGUUGUGUCGGUGGGGGAUGGGCCCGCGGUCUAUCAGCUGGUUGGUGGGGUGAUGGCCUACCAAGGCGACGACGGAUAGCCGGCCUGAGAGGGUGAUCGGCCACACUGGGACUGAGACACGGCCCAGACUCCUACGGGAGGCAGCAGUGGGGAAUCUUGCGCAAUGGGCGGAAGCCUGACGCAGCAACGCCGCGUGGGGAUGACGGCCUGGUGU
rnacentral:rRNA from 1 species